rnacentral:rRNA from 1 species
AUGAACGCUAGCUACAGGCUUAACACAUGCAAGUCGAGGGGCAGCAUUUUAGUUUGCUUGCAAACUAAAGAUGGCGACCGGCGCACGGGUGAGUAACACGUAUCCAACCUGCCGAUAACUCGGGGAUAGCCUUUCGAAAGAAAGAUUAAUAUCCGAUGGUAUAUUAAAACCGCAUGGUUUUACUAUUAAAGAAUUUCGGUUAUCGAUGGGGAUGCGUUCCAUUAGUUUGUUGGCGGGGUAACGGCCCACCAAGACUACGAUGGAUAGGGGUUCUGAGAGGAAGGUCCCCCACAUUGGAACUGAGACACGGUCCAAACUCCUACGGGAGGCAGCAGUGAGGAAUAUUGGUCAAUGGACGAGAGUCUGAACCAGCCAAGUAGCGUGAAGGAUGACUGCCCUAUGGGUUGUAAACUUCUUUUAUAUGGGAAUAAAGUAUUCCACGUGUGGGAUUUUGUAUGUACCAUAUGAAUAAGGAUCGGCUAACUCCGUGCCAGCAGCCGCGGUAAUACGGAGGAUCCGAGCGUUAUCCGGAUUUAUUGGGUUUAAAGGGAGCGUAGGUGGAUUGUUAAGUCAGUUGUGAAAGUUUGCGGCUCAACCGUAAAAUUGCAGUUGAAACUGGCAGUCUUGAGUACAGUAGAGGUGGGCGGAAUUCGUGGUGUAGCGGUGAAAUGCUUAGAUAUCACGAAGAACUCCGAUUGCGAAGGCAGCUCACUAGACUGCAACUGACACUGAUGCUCGAAAGUGUGGGUAUCAAACAGGAUUAGAUACCCUGGUAGUCCACACAGUAAACGAUGAAUACUCGCUGUUUGCGAUAUACAGUAAGCGGCCAAGCGAAAGCAUUAAGUAUUCCACCUGGGGAGUACGCCGGCAACGGUGAAACUCAAAGGAAUUGACGGGGGCCCGCACAAGCGGUGGAGCAUGUGGUUUAAUUCGAAGCAACGCGAAGAACCUUACCAGGUCUUGACAUCGAUCUAAAGGCUCCAGAGAUGGAGAGAUAGCUAUAGAGAAGACAGGUGGUGCAUGGUUGUCGUCAGCUCGUGUCGUGAGAUGUUGGGUUAAGUCCCGCAACGAGCGCAACCCUUAUCUUUAGUAGCCAGCAGUAAGAUGGGCACUCUAGAGAGACUGCCGGGGAUAACCCGGAGGAAGGUGGGGAUGACGUCAAAUCAGCACGGCCCUUACGUCCGGGGCUACACACGUGUUACAAUGGGGGGUACAGAAGGCAGCUACCUGGUGACAGGAUGCUAAUCCCAAAAACCUCUCUCAGUUCGGAUCGAAGUCUGCAACCCGACUUCGUGAAGCUGGAUUCGCUAGUAAUCGCGCAUCAGCCAUGGCGCGGUGAAUACGUUCCCGGGCCUUGUACACACCGCCCGUCACACCAUGAGAGCCGGGGGGACCCGAAGUCGGUAGUCUAACCGCAAGGAGGACGCCGCCGAAGGUAAAACUGGUGAUUGGGGUG